GUUAUAGACGCACGGAUGAGGCUAGUAGUUCAGGCAGCAACACUAAUAGUUGUGAUUCAGGCAUGCCUCAUGUUCAUGCACAGGAGAGCUAUUCAUCAUGGUGAGAUACUUGUCAUCAGUUAUGCUUCAAUGCUUAUGCAGGAGUAGGAGAGGAUCGCCAAUCUAAACUACAUCUACAACUGCAACGACACAGAGGCCUUGUGGAUGCUUCAAAUGAAAAGAGCACCAUUUGCCAGACUUUUCCAGACCUUCAGGAGCGGGCUGCUACAAGAUAGCAUCCACACCAGUGUGGAAGAGCAAGUGGCAAUGUUCCUUCAUUUUGUUGGCCAUAACCAGAGGUUCAGAGUUAUAUACAACACAUUCAGGAGAUCAAUGGAGACCAUAUCAAGGUACUUCAAGCAAGUGAUAUAUGUUGUUGCGUAGCUCAGAGGAUAGAUGAUCAAGUCACCAACCUGUCGGACUCCUACCAAGAUUUGCACUAGCCCAAAAUGGUAUCCAUACUUCAAGGUGAGCACCGACGGUAUGUGCUUCAUGGCUUGA
rnacentral:rRNA from 1 species